UGGGGAAUAUUGGACAAUGGGGGCAACCCUGAUCCAGCAAUGCCGCGUGUGUGAAGAAGGUCUUCGGAUUGUAAAGCACUUUCGACGGGGACGAUGAUGACGGUACCCGUAGAAGAAGCCCCGGCUAACUUCGUGCCAGCAGCCGCGGUAAUACGAAGGGGGCUAGCGUUGCUCGGAAUGACUGGGCGUAAAGGGCGUGUAGGCGGUUUACACAGUCAGAUGUGAAAUCCCCGGGCUUAACCUGGGAGCUGCAUUUGAUACGUGUAGACUAGAGUGUGAGAGAGGGUUGUGGAAUUCCCAGUGUAGAGGUGAAAUCCGUAGAUAUUGGGAAGAACACCGGUGGCGAAGGCGGCAACCUGGCUCAUGACUGACGCUGAGGCGCGAAAGCGUGGGGAGCAAACAGGAUUAGAUACCCUGGUAGUCCACGCUGUAAACGAUGUGUGCUAGAUGUUGGGUAACUUUGUUAUUCAGUGUCGCAGUUAACGCGUUAAGCACACCGCCUGGGGAGUACGGCCGCAAGGUUGAAA
rnacentral:rRNA from 1 species